rnacentral:rRNA from 1 species
UAGGGAAUCUUCGGCAAUGGGGGGCAACCCUGACCGAGCAACGCCGCGUGAGUGAAGAAGGUUUUCGGAUCGUAAAGCUCUGUUGUUGGUGAAGAAGGAUAGAGGCAGUAACUGGUCUUUAUUUGACGGUAAUCAACCAGAAAGUCACGGCUAACUACGUGCCAA